rnacentral:lncRNA from 1 species
ACAACCACCAUUUCUGGCUCCAGUUAAAUUUUCUCCACUCAAGCCCCAAUAAUAAAUGGGUCCAUGAUGAUAAUUAAGAGGAAAAAAAUAUUAUUUUUGUUAGAACAGACCAUCGUAGAUUUUUAGCAAUGUGUAUCUGUGUCCCUCACACUUUUCCUAUUCUGCCUUUUUUCAUUUUCCUUUUUUUUAAAUAUUAUGUACUAUAUUUUUAGUCUCAAACACAC